GCCUGAGUGGCUCAGUUGGUGAAGCAUCUGACUUCGGCUCAGGUAAUGAUCUCACAGUUGGUGGGUUCAAGCCCCAUGUGGGGCU
rnacentral:tRNA from 1 species